AUCUCCCAAGGCUAAAUACUCCCUAGUGACCGAUAGUGAACCAGUACCGUGAGGGAAAGGUGAAAAGCACCCCGGAAGGGGAGUGAAAGAGAUCCUGAAACCGUGUGCCUACAAGUAGUCAGAGCCCGUUAACGGGUGAUGGCGUGCCUUUUGUAGAAUGAACCGGCGAGUUACGAUCCCGUGCAAGGUUAAGCAGAAGAUGCGGAGCCGCAGCGAAAGCGAGUCUGAAUAGGGCGCAUGAGUACGUGGUCGUAGACCCGAAACCAGGUGAUCUACCCAUGUCCAGGGUGAAGUUCAGGUAACACUGAAUGGAGGCCCGAACCCACGCACGUUGAAAAGUGCGGGGAUGAGGUGUGGGUAGGGGUGAAAUGCCAAUCGAACCUGGAGAUAGCUG
rnacentral:rRNA from 1 species